ensembl:lncRNA
UGGAUAUUCCAUGGACCCAGCUGAAAUAGCCCCGGUACAGGCCCUGAAGCUCCGAAAACCAGCUACAGUGGGAGAUCUGAGAAAAAUGAUGGGAUUCCUCUCCUAUUAUAGGACCUACAUACCCAAUUUCUCUCGCCUGGCAAGACCUCUCUAUCAGCUGAUAGCGGCGCCACCUCAAAGCACAUUACCUGCUGAGCCUAAGGGAAAGAAAAGAAGAGUCAGUACUAAGUCAAAAGGGCAGGCAUCUCCCAACACACCCAUAACUUGGACACAGACUCAUCAAGAUGUGUUGAACACACUGAUCGACCACUUAAUAGAGCCACCAAUUCUUGCUUAUCCUGAUCUGACUCUACCGUUUGUCCUCCAUUGCGAUGCGUCACAGGAUGGUUUGGGGGCAGUCCUGUAUCAAAAACAAAAUGGGAAGAUGUCAGUGAUUGCAUAUGGGUCAAGGACUCUCACACCACCGGAGAAAAACUACCACAUGCAUUCAGGAAAACUAGAAUUCCUCGCUCUUAAGUGGGCCAUUUGUGAACGCUUUAGGGAUUAUUUGUUCCAUGCUCCACAUUUCGAAGUGUACACAGAUAAUAAUCCCUUAACGUACAUUUUGACAACAGCCAAACUCAAUGCAACAGGGCACCGUUGGGUCGCAGAGCUGGCCGAUUUUAAUUUCACCAUCAAAUACCGGCCUGGGAGAUGCAAUGCAGAUGCAGAUGGCUUGUCGAGGAUGCCGCUUGACAUUGACCAGUACAUGAAACUGUGCACAGAGGAGAUAAACCAAGAUGUGAUAAGUGCUGCAGUGCAGGGUGUGGUUUUAACUUUCAAGGAUGCUCCUCUGUGGACAAGUGGGAUCCACUUACAAGCUGUACAUCUGGUGGAAGACAACAUCUCACUGCCCACUAAUCUGUGUCUGUCGCAGGAGCAGAUCAAACAAUCCCAAGAGAAAGACCCAGUUAUCAGCCGUGUCCUGGAGUACAAAAAGAAUAACAGUCGUCCAUUCGGCCGCACUCUCAAAAAAGAAUGUCAGGAGACCAGAUUCCUUUUGAAACAGUGGACACGACUGCACUUGAGCGAUGAAGGAGUCCUGUACAGAAAAGCAGGAAAGAGAAACCAGCUUAUUCUACCGAAAGAACAUCAUCCAACGGUUUACAGAGAGUUGCAUCAAGAGAUGGGGCAUCUUGGAACAGAGAGGACUCUAAGUCUAAUUCGUGAAAGAUUCUAUUGGCCCCAUAUGCAAAAAGAGACAGAGCACUUUGUGACGCGUGUAUGUG